rnacentral:rRNA from 1 species
CUCAACCUCGGACGUGCUUUGGAUACUGGCAGCCUUGAGUUCGCGAGAGGAAAGCGGAAUUCCAGGUGUAGCGGUGAAAUGCUUAGAUAUCUGGAGGAACACCAGUGGCGAAAGCGGCUUUCUGGCGCGAAACUGACGCUGAGGCUCGAAAGCGUGGGGAGCGAACGGGAUUAGAUACCCCGGUAGUCCACGCCGUAAACGUUGUGCACUAGGUGUGGGAGGUAUCGACCCCUUCCGUGCCGCAGCUAACGCAUUAAGUGCACCGCCUGGGGAGUACGGUCGCAAGACUGAAACUCAAAGGAAUUGACGGGGGCCCGCACAAGCGGUGGAGCAUGUGGUUUAAUUCGAGGCAACGCGAAGAACCUUACCCAGGCUUGACAUCCCGGGACAGCCUACAAAAGUAGGUCUUCCCUUCGGGGACCC